rnacentral:rRNA from 1 species
UACAGAGGAGCCAAGCGUUGUCCGGAUUUAUUGGGCGUAAAGGGCGCGUAGGCGGCCCGCUAAGUCGAACGUGAAAUCCCUGGGCUCAACCCAGGAACUGCGUCCGAUACUGGCAGGCUUGAAUCCGGGAGAGGGAUGCGGAAUUCCAGGUGUAGCGGUGAAAUGCGUAGAUAUCGGAAGGAACAUCAGUGGCGAAAGCGACUUCCUGGACCAGUACCGACGUUCAGGCACGAAAGCGUGGGGAGCAAACAGG